ACCAACAGGGAUUGCCCUAGUAACGGCGAGUGAAGCGGCAACAGCUCAAAUUUGAAAUCUGGCUUCGGCCCGAGUUGUAAUUUGCAGAGGAAGCUUUAGGCGCGGCACUUUCUGAGUCCCCUGGAACGGGGCGCCAUAGAGGGUGAGAGCCCCGUAUAGUUAGAUGCCUAGCCUGUGUAAAGCUCCUUCGACGAGUCGAGUAGUUUGGGAAUGCUGCUCAAAAUGGGAGGUAAAUUUCUUCUAAAGCUAAAUACCGGCCAGAGACCGAUAGCGCACAAGUAGAGUGAUCGAAAGAUGAAAAGCACUUUGAAAAGAGGGUUAAAUAGCACGUGAAAUUGUUGAAAGGGAAGCGCUUGUGACCAGACUUGCGCCGGGCAGAUCAUCCGGUGUUCUCACCGGUGCACUCUGCCCGGCUCAGGCCAGCAUCGGUUCUCGCGGGGGGAUAAAGGCCCUGGGAACGUAGCUCCUCCGGGAGUGUUAUAGCCCGGGGCGUAAUGCCCUCGCGGGGACCGAGGUUCGCGCAUCUGCAAGGAUGCUGGCGUAAUGGUCAUCAGCGACCCGUCUUGAAACACGGACCAAGGAGUCAAGGUUUUGCGCGAGUGUUUGGGUGUAAAACCCGCACGCGUAAUGAAAGUGAACGUAGGUGAGAGCUUCGGCGCAUCAUCGACCGAUCCUGAUGUUUUCGGAUGGAUUUGAGUAGGAGCGUUAAGCCUUGGACCCGAAAGAUGGUGAACUAUGCUUGGAUAGGGUGAAGCCAGAGGAAACUCUGGUGGAGGCUCGCAGCGGUUCUGACGUGCAAAUCGAUCGUCAAAUCUGAGCAUGGGGGCGAAAGACUAAUCGAACCAUCU
rnacentral:rRNA from 1 species